rnacentral:rRNA from 1 species
UACGUAGGGGGCUAGCGUUGUCCGGAAUCAUUGGGCGUAAAGAGCGUGUAGGCGGUCCGGUAAGUCCGUUGUGAAAGUCAGGGGCUCAACCCUUGAAUGCCGGCGGAUACUGUCGGGCGUAGAGUCCGGAAGAGGCGAGUGGAAUUCCCCGGGUGUAGCGGUGAAAUGCGCAGAUAUCGGGAGGAACACCUAUGGCGGAAGGCAGCGUCGCUGGGACGGUACUGCGCUGAGACGCGAAAGCGUGGGGAGCAAACAGG